rnacentral:rRNA from 1 species
GCAUAACGCGAAGAACCUUACCUGGCCUUGACAUUGAUAGAAUCUGCUAGAGAUAGCGGAGUGCCCUUCGGGGAGCUUGAAACAAGGUGCUGCACGGCUGUCGUCAGCUCGUGUCGUGAGAUGUUGGGUUAAGUCCCGCAACGAGCGCAACCCUCGUCACUAGUUACUAACGGUUCGGCCGAGGACUCUAGUGAGACUGCCUUCGUAAGGAGGAGGAAGGUGAGGACGACGUCAAGUCAUCAUGGCCCUUACGGCCAGGGCGACACACGUGCUACAAUGGGAUGUACAAUGAGACGCAAUACCGCGAGGUGGAGCAAAUCUAUAAAACAUCUCUCAGUUCGGAUUGUAGUCUGCAACUCGACUACAUGAAGCUGGAAUCACUAGUAAUCGUAGAUCAGCCAUGCUACGGUGAAUACGUUCCCGGGUCUUGUACACACCG